UACUUUUUUCAUUCAAAAACAAAAAUCAUUUUUGGGUGACUUGGUACACCCUAACUCUAUACCAAGUGGCGACUCCAUUUUUAUUAAAACCCUUUUUUGAACUUCACUUGGCCAAAUCGUCGCAUUCCUAAGUCCCAUGGCCUUUCAUCAUUUUCACUUUCACACGUUCACAUUUCAUAUCUCACACACAAACUCACAACACACACCACGAUCACACACCACACACAUUCAAAAAGUGGGGCGCGACAGAAAUCAGCAUGCAUGUAACUUGCUUUAGAUGAAGCUUUGUUGUUGAAUCCGAGUGGAUAAAGUUGCAAUUUUGGCUUUUUUCUUCCAAAAUACUUUAUUGGAUUUUGUCUCCAUGUACGUAAUAUACUUUCUAUCCCUCUCUUCAUGUCAUACAAAGAAUGUUUU
rnacentral:lncRNA from 1 species